GCGACCGGCAAACGGGUGCGGAACACGUACGCAACUUACCCAAAACUGGGGAAUAGCCCGGGGAAACCCGGAUUAAUACCCCGUAACAUAAUUGAAUGGCAUCAUUUGAUUAUUAUAGAUUUUAUCGGUUUUGGAUGGGCGUGCGCCUGAUUAGGUAGUUGGCGGGGUAAUGGCCCACCAAGCCUACGAUCAGUAACUGGUGUGAGAGCACGACCAGUCACACGGGCACUGAGACACGGGCCCGACUCCU
rnacentral:rRNA from 1 species